UGGUCCUGGUGACUUCAUUUGGUCGGUAUGACGUCAUAUGACGUCUGUAUGAGGUCAUAUGGGGAUUUUUACAUCAUUUGGGGCGUUCUCCGUCAUUUGGUG